rnacentral:tRNA from 1 species
GCUGGGAUAGCUCAGCUGGCAGAGCACAUGCAUGGUAAGCAUGAGGCCACGGGUUCGAAUCCCGUUCCCAGCUCCA